ACGGCAUUCGCCGCUCUGCCAGACUCAGAAGGAAGCGGGGGCUUCAGCGUCCACAAACAGAGAGAGCGGCGUCUUUGGAAGCUUUCAGAGCAGCUUGUCUCAGAUUUGUCCUGAUGUGACUCCACUAAACCAGUGUAAAACUGGUGAAUCAGGCCCCCAGGUGGGGACCCUUGGACUUCCAUCACAGACCAACUGACACACUAUUCCAGCAUUAACAGAGUUUCCUUUAGUGAAACCGGAUCAGCUUCGACAGAGACAUCUGCUAAAGUCAGCAGCGCUCACAUGUUCCCUGGCUCACACAACCUUUAAUUUGUUUUGCUUCUUUCUUUAAAAAAAAAUCCCUUUUGGGGCACAAUGGGGAUCCAGAUCUCAGUUAGCGUCUCUAGGCUAUCCUGUGAUACUGCUACCAAUGAUUAUUAUACUGGUAUGUCAA